rnacentral:lncRNA from 1 species
CUGCUCCAGAUGUUGCUCUAGCCGGCUUGCGAAGUGUGAGCAGGAACAGACUGACUCCAUCAACUGGGCUCUCCCUGUUUAGAGACAAGACUGCUUGAAGCAAUUAGGUUCACCAAUUAGCAUAGUUUUACUGACCCGGGCAACAGCAGCGCUGGCUUCUCAGAUUAUCCGCUUCUUCAAAGUCCCGGGAAAAAGGAGGAAAACAUGCUUCCCAGGUGUGCCAGGCAGGAGACGAGCCUACAAACAGGAUUUUUAGGAACUCUGGACAAGAACUAGACAUGUGAGAGAAGAAAGUUCUCAAUCAAUCAAUCAACAUUUGUUAAACACCUGCUUGGUGCAAAACACCGUCCUGGGGAUCAUUCUAAUACAUAUUCUAUGGGCACAUAGUAGAGAGUCCUCUGCUUCUCCUUGUAUUCUGAAAGCAACAAUGGCUUAAAAAAAACAACAACCCAAAAAACAAAUACUAAUUCUUUCAGAAGUGUUUUCCCAGCUACAGAUGUGAAAUAGGCCAGUAUACAAAUCUAUUUGUUUCCCUUCUGUAGUGUUGAAAAUUAUAUUGAUUUAGUGUUCUCAAGUUAUACUUUUUAUGUAAUUAGUGGUGUAGUAAAAACUAAUAUUGUCAUGUGCUAACGUCUUUUCUUCCCCUGUUGUUCUAUGGAGCUGUUCCAUGCAAUAUCAGCAAGUUUACACUUUUCUUGUGUUUUUCUGAAAGCGAAGAGGAACAUCUGUUUCAAUUAUAUAUCUGCAUCAUAAUUAUAACAAUUAAAGAGCUGCCAUAUUUUUACUCUGAAAAAUUUAAUUCAUUCUUAGUCCAGAUGAGUAAGCUUGAGUCAUAA